AAGAAAAUAGAUUUUGGAAGUUAUGAGAGAGAAAGUAUUCAUUGAGCCAUCUUAACAAAAAAAUGUUCUUUCGUCUAAAGCAAGUUUGCUAAACUUCAUUUGAACUUUUAAGUCAGUCACUUGAUUGAGCCUCUGAGAAUAACAGAACACCUGUUGACCAAGCAAUGUUACUUCUGCUUCUUUUAAGGCAUCUUGCCAAAUUUGUCAUACUGUGAGACUACACAUGCUCCAUUAAAAGAGAAGACCAUGAAAAUAUUGAAAUAAAAAAAUAAAAGAAGUAUUAUUUCAUUUCUGUUUUGAUGAAUGGGAAAAAAAAAAUCAAGAACAAGAAGUUCCAAAGAGGCCGAAGAGUAAAUUAUUUCCGUUUAGGACACAAUUUUAUUAAUCCCAUUUUGAUCUGUAUUUUUGUAAUUUAUAGUGAUCAUCAUAAAGCAUAUGAAAACAGGCAACACCAAUAAAAUAUUCUCAAGUAACAUAGUCAGUUAUGUGGAAAAGUAAGGAAGGCCACAAGCGUAUGUAUAAUUUGCCAACU
rnacentral:lncRNA from 1 species